CGCUCUGUAAGUCGUCGGGC
rnacentral:miRNA from 1 species